GAUGAACGCUGGCGGCGUGCCUAAUACAUGCAAGUCGAGCGAACGGACGAGAAGCUUGCUUUUCUGAUGUUAGCGGCGGACGGGUGAGUAACACGUGGAUAACCUACCUAUAAGACUGGGAUAACUUCGGGAAACCGGAGCUAAUACCGGAUAAUAUUUUGAACCGCAUGGUUCAAAAGUGAAAGACGGUCUUGCUGUCACUUAUAGAUGAAUCCGCGCUGCAUUAGCUAGUUGGUAAGGUAACGGCUUACCAAGGCAACGAUGCAUAGCCGACCUGAGAGGGUGAUCGGCCACACUGGAACUGAGACACGGUCCAGACUCCUACGGGAGGCAGCAGUAGGGAAUCUUCCGCAAUGGGCGAAAGCCUGACGGAGCAACGCCGCGUGAGUGAUGAAGGUCUUCGGAUCGUAAAACUCUGUUAUUAGGGAAGAACAUAUGUGUAAGUAACUGUGCACAUCUUAACGGUACCUAAUCAGAAAGCCACGGCUAACUACGUG
rnacentral:rRNA from 1 species